rnacentral:rRNA from 1 species
AUGCUGGAGGUAUCAGAAGUGCGAAUGCUGACAUAAGUAACGAUAAUGCGGGUGAAAAACCCGCACGCCGGAAGACCAAGGGUUCCUGUCCAACGUUAAUCGGGGCAGGGUGAGUCGACCCCUAAGGCGAGGCAGAAAUGCGUAGUCGAUGGGAAACGGGUUAAUAUUCCCGUACUGGUGAUAAUUGCGAUGGGGGGACGGAGAAGGCUAGGCUAUCCGGGCGACGGUUGUCCCGGUUUAAGGAUGUAGGCAGGUGAAUUAGGCAAAUCCGGUUCAUUAUAUGCUGAGGUCCGAUGACGAGUCACUACGGUGAUGAAGUAGCUCAUGCCCCGCUUCCAGGAAAAGCCUCUAAGCUCUAGAUUAUCAUUAAUCGUACCCCAAACCGACACAGGUGGUCAGGUAGAGAAUACUCAGGCGCUUGAGAGAACUCGGGUGAAGGAACUAGGCAAAAUGGUGCCGUAACUUCGGGAGAAGGCACGCUGGCGCUAGGUGAAGUCCCUCGCGGAUGGAGCUGAAGCCAGUCGCAGAUACCAGCUGGCUGCAACUGUUUAUUAAAAACACAGCACUGUGCAAACACGAAAGUGGACGUAUACGGUGUGACGCCUGCCCGGUGCUGGAAGGUUAAUUGAUGGGGUUAUCCGUAAGGAGAAGCUCUUGAUCGAAGCCCCAGUAAACGGCGGCCGUAACUAUAACGGUCCUAAGGUAGCGAAAUUCCUUGUCGGGUAAGUUCCGACCUGCACGAAUGGCGUAAUGAUGGCCAGGCUGUCUCCACCCGAGACUCAGUGAAAUUGAACUCGCUGUGAAGAUGCAGUGUACCCGCGGCAAGACGGAAAGACCCCGUGAACCUUUACUAUAGCUUGACACUGAACAUUGAGCCUUGAUGUGUAGGAUAGGUGGGAGGCUUUGAAGUGUGGACGCCAGUCUGCAUGGAGCCAACCUUGAAAUACCACCCUUUAAUGUUUGAUGUUCUAACGUAGCCCCGUUAUCCGGGGUGCGGACAGUGUCUGGUGGGUAGUUUGACUGGGGCGGUCUCCUCCCAAAGAGUAACGGAGGAGCACGAAGGUUGGCUAAGCAUGGUCGGACAUCAUGCGGUUAGUGCAAAGGCAUAAGCCAGCUUGACUGCGAGAGUGACGGCUCGAGCAGGUACGAAAGUAGGUCUUAGUGAUCCGGUGGUUCUGAAUGGAAGGGCCAUCGCUCAACGGAUAAAAGGUACUCCGGGGAUAACAGGCUGAUACCGCCCAAGAGUUCAUAUCGACGGCGGUGUUUGGCACCUCGAUGUCGGCUCAUCACAUCCUGGGGCUGAAGUAGGUCCCAAGGGUACGGCUGUUCGCCGUUUAAAGUGGUACGCGAGCUGGGUUUAGAACGUCGUGAGACAGUUCGGUCCCUAUCUGCCGUGGGCGUUGGAAGAUUGAAAGGGGCUGCUCCUAGUACGAGAGGACCGGAGUGGACGCACCACUGGUGUUCGGGUUGUCAUGCCAAUGGCAUUGCCCGGUAGCUAAGUGCGGAAGAGAUAACCGCUGAAAGCAUCUAAGCGGGAAACUUGCCUUGAGAUGAGUCUUCCCUGACCCUUAAAGGGUCCUAAAGGAACGUUUAAGACUAAGACGUUGAUAGGUUGGGUGUGUAAGCGUAGCGAUACGUUGAGCUAACCAAUACUAAUGAACCGUGAGGCUUAACCUG